AGCUUUGCUGCAUGGUAGGAGAGCGUUCUAAGGGCGGUGAAGCCGGACCGUAAGGACCGGUGGAGCGCUUAGAAGUGAGAAUGCCGGUAUGAGUAGCGAAAGACAGGUGAGAAUCCUGUCCACCGAAUGACUAAGGUUUCCUGGGGAAGGCUCGUCCUCCCAGGGUUAGUCGGGACCUAAGCUGAGGCCGAGAGGCGUAGGCGAUGGACAACGGGUUGAUAUUCCCGUACCGGUCUGAUUUGUUUGAGCAAUGGAGGGACGCAGGAGGCUAACGAUGCGCACUAUCGGAUGUGCGUCCAAGCAGCAAGUCUGUCGGCGAGUCAAAUGCUUGCCGGCUCAAGGACAAGCUGUGACGGGUAUGAACGAUUUAUCGUUCUAAGUGAGUGACGUCACACUGCCAAGAAAAGCUUCUAGUUAGAAUCAGACCGCCCGUACCGCAAACCGACACAGGUAGUCGGGUCGAGAAGACCAAGGUGAGCGAGAGAACUCUCGUUAAGGAACUCGGCAAAAUGACCCCGUAACUUCGGGAGAAGGGGUGCUGAUCGCAAGAUCAGCCGCAGUGAAUAGGCCCAGGCGACUGUUUAUCAAAAACACAGGUUUCUGCAAAAUCGUAAGAUGAAGUAUAGGGGCUGACGCCUGCCCGGUGCUGGAAGGUUAAGAGGAUGGGUUAGCGCAAGCGAAGCUCAGAAUUGAAGCCCCAGUAAACGGCGGCCGUAACAAUAACGGUCCUAAGGUAGCGAAAUUCCUUGUCGGGUAAGUUCCGACCCGCACGAAAGGCGUAACGAUCUGGGCACUGUCUCAACGAGAGACUCGGUGAAAUUAUAAUACCCGUGAAGAUGCGGGUUACCCGCGACAGGACGGAAAGACCCCAUGGAGCUUUACUGUAGCUUGAUAUUGGGUGUUUGUACAACUUGUACAGGAUAGGUAGGAGCCGUAGAAGUCGGGACGCUAGUUUCGACGGAGGCAUCGGAGGGAUACUACCCUCGUUGUAUGAACACUCUAACCCACGCCGGCAAUCACGGCGGGAGACAGUGUCAGGUGGGCAGUUUGACUGGGGCGGUCGCCUCCUAAAAGGUAACGGAGGCGCCCAAAGGUUCCCUCAGAAUGGUUGGAAAUCAUUCGCAGAGUGUAAAGGCAUAAGGGAGCUUGACUGCGAGACCUACAAGUCGAGCAGGGACGAAAGUCGGGCUUAGUGAUCCGGUGGUUCCGCAUGGAAGGGCCAUCGCUCAACGGAUAAAAGCUACCCUGGGGAUAACAGGCUUAUCUCCCCCAAGAGUCCACAUCGACGGGGAGGUUUGGCACCUCGAUGUCGGCUCAUCGCAUCCUGGGGCUGUAGUCGGUCCCAAGGGUUGGGCUGUUCGCCCAUUAAAGCGGUACGCGAGCUGGGUUCAGAACGUCGUGAGACAGUUCGGUCCCUAUCCGUCGCGGGCGCAGGAAAUUUGAGAGGAUCUGUCCUUAGUACGAGAGGACCGGGAUGGACAUACCGCUGGUGUACCAGUUGUUCUGCCAAGGGCAUCGCUGGGUAGCUAUGUAUGAUGAGAUAAACGCUGAAAGCAUCUAAGUGCGAAACUCACCUCGAGAUGAGAUUUCCCACUCCUUUAUGGAGUUAAGACCCCUGAGAGAUGAUCAGGUAGAUAGGAUGGAAGUGGAAGUGCGGCGACGCAUGGAGCGGACCAUUACUAAUCGGUCGAGGACUUAACC
rnacentral:rRNA from 1 species